UGAUAAUUAGUUUAACCAAAACAAAUGAUUUCGACUCA
rnacentral:tRNA from 1 species